GGGUCGCAGAGUCGGACACGACUGAGCGACUGAACUGAACUGAACUGAACUGGGUUUUUCCAAAACAUGCCAUCUGGUGGCUGCUAUUGGAAUCACAAGACCUGUGUUUCAGGUUAGAACCAGUGUUUUGGGUAAGCGUUGGUAAGGAUAAAUGCAAAGGAUAAAAGAUUCCAUUUACAAGCAAGCGUGCCGACUUACUUUAGUGUUUGUAAAGUCACAGUAGCUAUGAACAAUUCCAGGUGGUGAGAAAUCGCUUGUGGAGGGGAAACAGAAAAGACCAAUGGAAAGACGCAUAAUAGGCAUAUUUAUGUGUGUUGGGGAUAGAUGGAGGGGGUUGUCCAGACAAGACAGAAGACAAGAGGGAGAGAAUUAGAAGGAAAGGAAAGUGGACCAACUUAAUGAGAUUGGAGGAGUUCCUGACGUAUGCCUUAGACCUCAGUUAAUCCUUUUACUCUUAAGGAUCUCCCUCACUUUACCAUUUAAUUUAAUUUAACUUAAUUUAAUUCAACAAGCCUGUAUUGAACACAGAAGUGCUUCACAAGAUGUGGGCAAUCCUGAGUGAUCAGGAAGAGCUGUCCUCACUUCUUAAGCAGCUCAAAAGAGUUUAGCCCCUGAAUUCUGUGACAUGCUUAGGGUUUUGGGGAAGAUGUCUUCCUACUUCAUACAUUAAAAAAAAAAGUUUUUAAUUGAGUAAAACACAUAUGGCAUAAAAUUUACUCCUUUAACCAUUUUUGAGUGUAUAGUCAGUAAUUUUAAGCACAUUUACAUUGUGCGCAACCAUUAUCACUUCAGAACUUUACUCAUCUUCCCAGAGUGAACUUCAAUAACUAUUAAAUGCUAAUUCCCCAUUCCCCCUUCUUCCCCGCCCCUGGUGACCACCAUUCUCCUUUAUGUCUCCAUGAUUUUGACUGUUCUAGGUACAUCAUAUAAGUGGAAUCAUACAGUGUUUUUGUGUGUGUGUUUGGGUGACUGGCUUACAGUCACAAUGUCUCCAAGGUGCAUUUAUGUUAUGAUUUGUGCCCGAGUUUCCUCCCUUUUUGAGGAGGUGCAUGGAUACACCCCAUCUUGUUUACGCACUCAUCGCUUGAUGGGCGCUCGGGUUGCUUCCGCCUCUUGGCUGUUGUGAGCAGUGUGCUGUGAACAUGGGCGUGCAAGUAUCUGCGUUCAGUUCUUUCAGAUAUUAAUAUAACGAGAAGUGAAACUGCUGCAUCGUGUGGCAGUUCUGUUUUCAAAUUUUUCAGAAACCAUCAUACUGUUUCUACCACACCUCAUGUUUUUUUUUGUGAAGAAAUGCCACCCCUACUUAAGCCAAACACAGAGUCCCCCAAUGAAUGAGAAUUGGAGAAUUCCUGAGGUGGAACUUUAUCACCAGGUGGGAAGGAAGGGCUUGUGUUUUUCCAAAUUCACCUCUUGCUUCUCUCCCUGGUAACCCCUACCCUGGACUUGCCUAGCACCAACAUAUUUAAGCCAAAUUUCAAAUCCACCAAGGCUGGAAUGGAGAAGAACCCUGACUUUCUCAGUGGAUUGAAAGGGGUAGGGGCCCAGUUAGUGAGUUGGAGGGUGAUGCCUGCUGUCCAUGUGAAGCCUUAUCCUCUUGACCUUGGGGAAUUUGGGGUCCAGGCUGAGGUCUCAUCAGAAACAGAAGGAGAAUCAAGCCUCAGUGUUGAAGGGAAGACUCACAAGACUAUCAUCUUCCCUCCCAGCGCCUGCCCUGCUGCUGAGGACAGCUCCCCUUGGAGCAAAAAUGCAAACAAGAGAGCCCAGUCCCGCCGUUACUCCACGUGUCAUGCAGGGGGCAGCCUGACAUGGAGAAAAGGCAGCUUUGGGAUUGGAGAAACCUGAGUUUGAAUCCUUCUGGCGCGUACCGGUCAUAUAACCUCAGAUGUGUUCCUCAGUUUUAUAGAGACACAUUUCAGGGUUGCCAGGGCCAGCGAUGAGCACAUUGGCAUCUUCAGUGCCUGCACUGUAGUAAAGAUGGCAUGGCAUGGCGCGUGUCGAGUGCCAAGCACAGCACCCAGAGCGCAAGGGUUCCCCGGACAUUCCCUACUUGCCUUCCGCACCGAUCUUGUCUCAGUUACUGACUUUGAUCAUGUUCCUCCUGAGUUUUCAUCUCUCUUAUCUACCAGGGCCAGCCUUCUGGGACUGUUCUCACCAAGAAGGGCUCCAUCUUUGAUUAUUUCCAGUUGAAUUCUUGGUCCAACUGGUCUUCUCCAGAUGAGCUCAGACACAUACCUCUCAGGCCCGCAAUUCAAUACAUAUGGGGAAGGAGUGGGAGGGGCACCACCCCGUCCUGGAGCUAAUGCCAAAAUAGGGCAAGUGCUUGUCACUAUCUCAUCUGAACACCGGCUCUGAAUGACGGGAGGUUGCCCAGUCCCGACCUUGUCUGGCUUUUGUUAAAUUGUGUUACAGCCUUAACGUUACUUAACUGUAGAGGACUUUGGGAUGUGUGUGUGUGUAUGAGUCUGUGGGUUAAUAGCAAUUUGUGAUAGAUGCCUUUGGCACCCACAUACUCAAUAACACCCACACUCACAAAAAAAAAAAAAGAAGGGGGAGGGGAGUUGUUUUUAUGGGAGAUAACAUAACUGCUUGCAAUUUGGCUAUUCAUUGUAUCUUUGGCAUUUUAUGUACUGCAUUAGCGGAGGCAAUUUCAUGCAUAUGGAUAUAAUGCAUUAAGUGGAGGCAUUUAAAUAUAGUGAAACUAAUUUUAUGAUGAUUAGUUGAAGGAAAACAUUGCAUUCGUAUCAUCUAUAUAGAAGCCAAUUUGCAUGAAAAUGCCCAAAGUUGCUAUGCCAACAUUUUCUGUGCUGCUGGUCGGGGUCGUCUCCGAGUCAAGACUUUGUAUUAAAAAUCGGUCUCCAGUGCCCAUGUCUUUAAUUCAUUGCAAGCUGUAGGCCAUUUGCUCACAAAGCGCUCGCAGUAAAACAAAUGAAUAGCUAAAAUACUCAUUUGCAUGAUUCCCAUUUGAAAACGAUUCCCCUGAAAUUAAAAAAGCGUGUUACUCGGUUGUGAAGAUGGAUGGGCCAGUGAGGCGGGCAAUUAAUAUUUUCGGCGUUCUCUUUAAAGCCCUCCCAAGACUAGGAACAGCACAUGCCAGACAAAUUGGGCCCCACAACAGUUUCAGGGCCUCGGCGGCAGCAGCUUGCUUCCACUGUCUCCCCUUUAUUGUCUCACUUACAUUAUGCAGUAAUUAAAACUAUUUACCAUUCCUACUUAUCCGCCAUCUGCUACCGCGGGAGGUUCCUCUUCUUUAGAAAGCUUCUUAAAGAGCAGCAAGAAGAAGGCGAAGGUUUGGCCCUGACUGCAGGAAGGGGCUUUGGGGGUUUGUCUUCUCCUCCUGGCCAUGUCCACCUGUCCCUCCGUGAAAGGAAUGAAGGAAUGACGGGGGAGGGCCCACCCCCGACAGAGCAGCACAGACAGAGAAACCAAACUGGGCAGGAAAUGGGAACCGACUCGCUCAGCAGGAUGAAGUGGGCCCUGGAGUCUGCAGACUCUCAACCCGCGGCUGCCCCAGGAGGACAGGGUCUGAAUGGAGAACACCUUCCGCUGCUCUCCUGAGCCCGCCUGGAGCUGGGCAUGUAGCAGGUUUUCCGAAGUACUUGUUGAGUUAAGCCAACAGUGAGGCUAUCUGUCUUGACGUCACCGCCCAAUCAUGAUGCCUGCUCUGAAGCUUCAUCCCACAGGCCCUCUCGGCUCACAUCUCGCCUUCUUAAUGGUCUUUUCCUGGAACGUAACCAAAGGGUUUGGAUUAGCCCAGAACCCUGCCCCUUGGCUGUGACUUUUCUGGCUUCAUUACUUGCCGGAGGCCAUGGGGCCACGCACACAGCACAUGCGGCCCCAUCUUUUCCUGUCCUGUAACUUCACCUCCG